GAGGGUGUAGCUCUGUGGUAGAGCGUGUGCCUAGCACGCACGAGGUCCUGGUUUCCGUCCCCUGUACCUCCA
rnacentral:tRNA from 1 species